ACGGAAGGCAGCAGUGGGGAAUAUUGCACAAUGGGCGCAAGCCUGAUGCAGCGAUGCCGCGUGAGGGAAGAAGGUUUUCGGAUUGUAAACCUCUGUCAACAGGGACGAAAAAGACGGUACCUGUGAAGGAAGCUCCGGCUAACUACGUGCCAGCAGCCGCGGUAAUACGUAGGGAGCAAGCGUUAUCCGGAAUUACUGGGUGUAAAGGGAGCGUAGACGGCAUGGCAAGCCAGAUGUGAAAGGCGGGGGCUCAACUCCUGAACUGCAUUUGGAACUGUCAAGCUAGAGUAUCGGAGAGGUAAGUGGAAUUCCUAGUGUAGCGGUGAAAUGCGUAGAUAUUAGGAGGAACACCAGUGGCGAAGGCGGCUUACUGGACGAUAACUGACGUUGAGGCUCGAAAGCGUGGGGAGCAAACAGGAUUAGAUACCCUGGUA
rnacentral:rRNA from 1 species